rnacentral:tRNA from 1 species
UCCCAGGUGGCUUAGAGGGUAAGCAUCUGCCUGCAAUGCUGGAGAUUCAGGUUCAAUCCUGAGUCAGGAA